rnacentral:rRNA from 1 species
UACGAAGGGUGCAAACGUUGCUCGGAAUUAUUGGGCGUAAAGCGCACGUAGGCGGCUUUGCAAGUCGGAUGUGAAAUCCCUCGGCUUAACCAAGGAAGUGCAUCCGAAACUGCAGAGCUUGAGUACUUAAGAGGAUCGCGGAAUUCCCGGUGUAGAGGUGAAAUUCGUAGAUAUCGGGAGGAACACCGGUGGCGAAGGCGGCGACCUGGGUCGAGACUGACGCUGAGGUGCGAAAGCGUGGGGAGCAAACAGG